UCAUGGCCGGUACGGAGCUUGUUCUGGUUAGUGUUUAUUUUUCAAUUAUUUGGUAUUGCAUUGUCACCGUCAAUCGCUGUUGUUUUUUCUUUUGUACUUUGGCUAUGUUUUGGAUUUUCUUAACAGCCAGAGAAGAAAAAUCCAAGUUUAACCCUAAUGGACUGGGUCCAGUUCCUUGUUUCUGCUGUCAUUGGAUUGGUGUGCUUCUGAUUCCAAUAUUUCUUUGAUUGCCUUGCCAUCUCUAGCUAACUAUGAUUUCAGGCAGACAUGGCAGCAUAUUAGAAUUUGAUCACAAAAACUGAUGUACAAUAAACAACUGGAUAAUUGGAGGGGAACUUUUCUGCACUUGUUUAAUGAUGCGAUUGAACAAGAAGUAUGUGUUUGAGAUCACGACAGGGAAGUUUCUCAGACUUGCGGGAAAGGGCGAUGAUCCCAGAGGUUUAAGGGUGGAUGAGAUGUCGUAUGCGAUCAAUCUGGGGUAGACUCCAAUUAGAAGAGUUAUUAUAAGAAAGACAGAUGAUCCACAAGUUUUGACUUUCAGAUUAACGCAUGCAAGUGAUUGCUUAAUUGCUAUGAGGAUUUUAUCUGCUGAAGUUCAUGCAUCAGGUCCCUCAGGUACGUCAUAGCCCCAAGUGAUAUGGGCGAAAAUGUCGUCUAAAAAGUGCUAGAAUCAUCCUAAUAGACUUCACAGUCAUGAAUUCUGGAUAUGAUUUUCCGUAAGAGGGGUUAUGUUGCUGAGAAGGUUGGUAAAGCUUUGGCUCUGGUUGGUUCUAUAGAUGAUGAACAGGUGGGGUAUUUAAGGCUCAUGUUUUGGUUGAUAUCACAGCUUGUCUAAAGCACAAUGGAAUAUCAUACAUUAAAAAUCUGGAUGCACUUGGAGUCUUGUUUGGUAUGGAAAAAGUAUUCAAACUGAAGGAGGAGGAACCUGUAAGAAUGGUUGUUAAUGGAACCUGUAGGAGAAAUGUGAACGUUAUGGCAUCUGCGGGUGGCUGGAUUACGUAUUUAUGAGAGUGAUUUUGAUAAAUAAGCUAGUCCUUCAGGAACACUCAAGUGGUUUUAUUUCCAUGGUUAUGUGUUCUGGUUUUGCAUGAAUUUCAGGAUACCGUAGGAAGAUUAUGGUGCACUUCAGGAUAUUAUAGGAAGAUUAUGGUGCAAACUGAUUUCUAAUUGCACUUGAUUUUGUCUGUUACAGGUUUCCGUAUCGGAUUCUGAAAUCCAUCUAUCCUGGAAAAAUUGAAAGAAUCCGUUUUCUUUUAAUGUUUGGAAGUUUUAAUGAUUUAAAAAUGGAAAUUUAGCUGUUAUUG